GCGUUUUAUACCGGAAUAAACCUUUGUUCGUGAACAGAGCUGGAAUGUACGGUUAAGAAUAAGGAUCGGCUAAUCCCGUUGC
rnacentral:rRNA from 1 species